rnacentral:rRNA from 1 species
AUGAACGCUGGCGGCGUGCCUCAUACAUGCAAGUCGCGCGAACAGACGAGGAGCUUGCUCCUCUGACGUUAGCGGCGGACGGGUGAGUAACACGUGGAUAACCUACCUAUAGGACUGGGAUAACUUCGGGAAACCGGAGCUAAUACCGGAUAAUAUAUUGAACCGCAUGGUUCAAUAGUGAAAGACGGUUUUGCUGUCACUUAUAGAUGGAUCCGCGCCGCAUUAGCUAGUUGGUAAGGUAACGGCUUACCAAGGCAACGAUGCGUAGCCGACCUGAGAGGGUGAUCGGCCACACUGGAACUGAGACACGGUCCAGACUCCUACGGGAGGCAGCAGUAGGGAAUCUUCCGCAAUGGGCGAAAGCUUGACGGAGCAACGCCGCGUGAGUGAUGAAGGUCUUCGGAUCGUAAAACUCUGUUAUUAGGGAAGAACAAAUGUGUAAGUAACUAUGCACGUCUUGACGGUACCUAAUCAGAAAGCCACGGCUAACUACGUG